GAAAACAGAUUAACAAUGUAUAAACUCUACUCCAAUCUUGGAAGCUAAGCACGGUUGGGCCUGGUUAGUACUUAGAUGGGAGACCACCUAGGAAGACCAGGUGCCGUAGGCG
rnacentral:rRNA from 1 species